rnacentral:rRNA from 1 species
AUGGUGUCUAGAGAUAGCUUGCUGGCCCUAAUGGCUGAACCCCAUGAACAAUUUCAGCCGACAUGCACAUCACCACAAAUCCAUAUCUUAAUUGAGUUCCUACACCAGCUGUUACUGGAUAAAUUGUGUACGACGCCAUGCUUGCACCCUUGUUCCAAGAGUAUUUACAGUUCUAUUCUUGGUUGUUCUUUGCACAAGAAGGAAGCUCAGAAACAGUGUUUUCUUGAGGAAACAGAGCAUGAUUGUGGAUCUUUUCAAAAUGGUCUGGAUGAGAGUGAUUGUCUUGCUGAAUUGACUAAGAUUGGAAUGCUUGACGUAUUCGGAGAUGUUGGCCUCUCUACUGCUCAAACAACUUGUUCAUCUCAAGGCAACAACGCAACUGGCUUGGAACAACGUUGA